UACGAAGGGGGCUAGCGUUGUUCGGAAUCACUGGGCGUAAAGGGCGCGUAGGCGGCUUGAUAAGUCGGGGUGAAAGCCUGUGGCUCAACCACAGAAUUGCCUUCGAUACUGUCGAGCUUGAGACCGGAAGAGGUAAGUGGAACUGCGAGUGUAGAGGUGAAAUUCGUAGAUAUUCGCAAGAACACCAGUGGCGAAGGCGGCUUACUGGUCCGGUUCUGGACGCUGAGGCGCGAAAGCGUGGGGAGCAAACAGG
rnacentral:rRNA from 1 species